rnacentral:rRNA from 1 species
GACGAACGCUGGCGGCGUACUUAACGCAUGCAAGUCGAACGGAAAGGCCCUGCUUUUGUGGGGUGCUCGAGUGGCGAACGGGUGAGUAACACGUGAGUAACCUGCCCUUGACUUUGGGAUAACUUCAGGAAACUGGGGCUAAUACCGGAUAGGAGCUCCUGCUGCAUGGUGGGGGUUGGAAAGUUUCGGCGGUUGGGGAUGGACCCGCGGCUUAUCAGCUUGUUGGUGGGGUAGUGGCUUACCAAGGCUUUGACGGGUAGCCGGCCUGAGAGGGUGACCGGCCACAUUGGGACUGAGAUACGGCCCAGACUCCUACGGGAGGCAGCAGUGGGGAAUAUUGCACAAUGGGCGGAAGCCUGAUGCAGCAACGCCGCGUGCGGGAUGACGGCCUUCGGGUUGUAAACCGCUUUCGCCUGUGACGAAGCGUGAGUGACGGUAAUGGGUAAAGAAGCACCGGCUAACUACGUGCCAGCAGCCGCGGUAAUACGUAGGGUGCGAGCGUUGUCCGGAUUUAUUGGGCGUAAAGGGCUCGUAGGUGGUUGAUCGCGUCGGAAGUGUAAUCUUGGGGCUUAACCCUGAGCGUGCUUUCGAUACGGGUUGACUUGAGGAAGGUAGGGGAGAAUGGAAUUCCUGGUGGAGCGGUGGAAUGCGCAGAUAUCAGGAGGAACACCAGUGGCGAAGGCGGUUCUCUGGGCCUUUCCUGACGCUGAGGAGCGAAAGCGUGGGGAGCGAACAGGCUUAGAUACCCUGGUAGUCCACGCUGUAAACGGUGGGUACUAGGUGUGGGGUCCAUUCCACGGGUUCCGUGCCGUAGCUAACGCUUUAAGUACCCCGCCUGGGGAGUACGGCCGCAAGGCUAAAACUCAAAGGAAUUGACGGGGCCCCGCACAAGCGGCGGAGCAUGCGGAUUAAUUCGAUGCAACGCGUAGAACCUUACCUGGGUUUGACAUGGAUCGGGAGUGCUCAGAGAUGGGUGUGCCUCUUUUGGGGUCGGUUCACAGGUGGUGCAUGGCUGUCGUCAGCUCGUGUCGUGAGAUGUUGGGUUAAGUCCCGCAACGAGCGCAACCCUUGUUCACUGUUGCCAGCACGUUAUGGUGGGGACUCAGUGGAGACCGCCGGGGUCAACUCGGAGGAAGGUGGGGAUGACGUCAAGUCAUCAUGCCCCUUAUGUCCAGGGCUUCACGCAUGCUACAAUGGCUGGUACAGAGAGUGGCGAGCCUGUGAGGGUGAGCGAAUCUCGGAAAGCCGGUCUCAGUUCGGAUUGGGGUCUGCAACUCGACCUCAUGAAGUCGGAGUCGCUAGUAAUCGCAGAUCAGCAACGCUGCGGUGAAUACGUUCCCGGGGCU